rnacentral:tRNA from 1 species
GGAGAUGUAGCUCAGUGGUAGAGUGCUUGCUGCUGUGCUAAGCCCUGAGUUCAAUCCCCAGCAACACCA